rnacentral:rRNA from 1 species
AGUGAACGCUGGCGGCAGGCCUAAUACAUGCAAGUCGAACGGAAGCACAGUAAGAGUUUGCCUUUACGGGUGGCGAGGGGCGGACGGGUGAGGAAUACAUAGGAAUCUACUAUUACUUGGGGGACAUCGGGGGGAAAGAGCUGCUAACACCUAAUAUGACCUACGGGAUGAAGCAGGGGAUCAUGGGAGCUUUCGCGAUAGUAUUAGACGGUGCCGCGUCGCAUUAGCUAGUUGGUAAGGUAACGGCUUACCAAGGCGACGAUGCGUAGCCGACCUGAGAGGGUGAUCAGCCACACUGGAACUGAGACACGGUCCAGACUCCUACGGGAGGCAGCAGUAGGGAAUAUUCGGCAAUGGGCGAAAGCCUGACCCAGCCAUGCCGCGUGAGUGAAGAAGGUCUUCGGGUUGUAAAGCUCUGUUAUUAGGGAAGAACAGAUGCGUAAGUAACUACGCCCGUCUUGACGGUACCUAAACAGAAAGCAACGGCUAACUUCGUG